AUCAGAGGCGCAUUUUUCAUGAGUAUCCCGGCGGAGGACGGAGCAUCCUGUGAAACCGGGGGAAAGGGAACGAUGCCGAAAGUCGAACACAGGCUUCACGGUUCGGCUUGGGCGCGGGGCAAACAGGUCCGCGACUGUCAUCGGGCGCGUGCCCGGCGGAGCGCUG
rnacentral:ncRNA from 1 species